UCCUCCCCACACCUGGUUAAUCGUAAACACAGGGCAGGGCGUGACUGAGCCUUCCUGACACCGUUCUCGGGAUCCCAGCACACGGCGCAUCUACGCAGGUACAGUGGUAAACACAGGGCAGGGCGUGACUGAGCCUUCCUGACACCGUUCCCGGGAUCCCAGCACACGGCGUGUCCACACAGGCACAGGUACAGUACUCACAGGCUGCACGAGGUCCUUCUCAUGGAAGGGAAUGCCUCCUACGGUGAGGUUCAGAUGAUACAGUCCUCGCUCCGGUUGGAACAAGUCCCCGGCCACCGCGAUUUUCAUGACAGCGUCCCUGUUGACCUUGAUGACCAGAUUCCGCGCCAGCUCCUCAACAGAGAUCUGAAGAGAGGCAGCGCCAUGAGAAGAGGUGGGAGUGCACGUUCUGAAGGGCUCCCAACUGCAGAAAAACCACACUCAUCCUCUCCUGAGCCAAGAGGGACCUGACCUUGGGGAGACCACCUGAUCCUCACCUGGGCCAACAGGGGGACCACCUCAUCCUCAUCUGAGCCAAGAGGAUCUCAAUCUCAAGGAGACCACCUGAUCCUCACCUGGGCCGACAAGGACCUGACCUCGGGGAGACCACCUGAUCCUCACCUGGGCCAAGAGGGACCCGACCUCAGAAAGUCCGUGCUCAUCACCUGGGCCAGGAGGGCCCUCGAUGCAUCAGUGUGGUCACCAGAAACUUUCCUCACAGGAAACCUCUUUGCUGAGAACAGCCUUCUGCUCUUGGAGAUGCUGUUCCUUUAAGAGGCUGGGAAAAUGGAGCGAGGCCUUACUCUGCAGAAUGGAAAUAGGAGCAAAGUCUACAAUGUUUCAUCUGCGGGGCCAAGGUGAAUUUUCCACUUCAUCUUCACUUCUGAAGGACAUGACGUGCUUUCUUCCCAGCUUUUACUUCUGAAAGCCCCGUGUGGUGAGGGAGGCCCAGCGCUGUGGGCGGGAGCCUGGUUGGUUACAGACCCUCUCACUCCAUGGAUGGGGAUGUGGGGUGGGCGCAUUUUACCGCUGCCCACAGCUGCCCAAGUGCAGGUCUGACCAGGACCCCUCAGGUGGCCCAUGGCGCUGGAGUCCAGGUGGUCAGGACGUUUCUGGCAAGAGGCAGCCCCGGUGAGGUCACCUGGACCCUUGGCAUGCAUGACCGCACUGACCAGCAGGCCCUGGGAGCCAGAGUUCAGGGACGGCAGCGUCCACACCGUCCUACAGGGAAAGGUGGGUGGGUGGCGCCUGGCCUGUCCACAGCCAGGGAGACACGUAUGGCAGGAGCGGUACCUGUGGUGCAGGUUCAGUGGUGGCUUCCUCCCCUGGUGGGGCACCCUGCGUGCAGCAUCAAGCAGCCCAGGCCUCUGUUCCCCGCCCCGCUCAGGAUAAACAGUACGGCCUCCAGACACAGCCCUGGCCUCUCUUCCCCGCCCCGCUCAGGAUUAACAGUACGGCCUCCAGACACAGCCCUGGCCUCUGUUCCCCGCCCCGCUCAGGAUACACAGUAUGGCCUCCAGACACAGCCCAGGGUCCCCGGGGCUGAGAAACACGGGUUCUCACCUGAGCCAAGAGCGACCUGAACUCCGGGAGACCAAACUCACUUGAGGCCCCCUUCUGAGGGAGCCAGGCUGAUACGUGAUGAAAUAGCAGAGAGGCUUAGAGCACUGCAGUGAGCCCCCACAGCAUGAACUGAACAGGACAGGGGUCCCUGUGCCCCCGAGCAUGAACUAAACAGGGCAGGGGUCCUUGUCCCCCCGAGCAUGAACUGAACAGGGCAGGGGUCCUUGUCCCCCCGAGCGUGAACUAAACGGGGCAGGGGUCCCUGUCCCCCAGAGCAUGAACUGAACGGGGCAGGGGUCCCUGUCCCCCAGAGCAUGAACUCAACAGGGCAGGGGUCCCUGUCCCCCAGAGCAUGAACUGAACGGGGCAGGGGUCCCUGUCCCCCAGAGCAUGAACUGAACGGGGCAGGGGUCCCUGUGCCCCCGAGCAUGAACUAAACAGGGCAGGGGUCCUUGUCCCCCAGAGCAUGAACUCAACAGGGCAGGGGUCCCUGUCCCCCAGAGCAUGAACUGAACGGGGCAGGGGUCCCUGUCCCCCAGAGCAUGAACUGAACAGGGCAGGGGUCCCUGUGCCCCAGAGCAUGAACUGAAUGGGGCAGGGGUCCUUGUCCCCCAGAGCAUGAACUGAACAGGGCAGGGGUCCCUGUGCCCCAGAGCAUGAACUGAAUGGGGCAGGGGUCCUUGUCCCCCAGAGCAUGAACUGAACAGGGCAGGGGUCCCUAUCCUGCCCGCAUGCAGCAGGUAUAGGCCCCAGAGCUCAUCUCCACGGUUGCACAAGCAAGUAACAGCCGGGUCAGGCUCAGGGACAACCCCGUGCGGCCCGGAAGGGGCGGCUGCCGCACACUCACCGUCUGCCACAUGCCGUGGUUGAUGACCGGGCCGCUGCUGGUGACGCGGCCGACGCCAUUGUAGCGCAGCUGCAGCUCCAGCCGGCCGGCUCGCAGGGCCAGCACGAUCCAGGUGCUGUCCUGGUGGCCUCCAGCGAAGAGGAGGAUGCCCUCGGGGUCAAAGGUCCGGAAGUCAAACUCAGCUACAAGCCUGGGCACCCACAGGAGAAAUGAGUCAGCGCCGGGUGUACGGCCAAGCCCGGGCCCGGGCCCCGUGCAGCCAGCACCUUGGCCGUGCUAAGCUGUGCUGCCUUCUGUGGACACCUCCUCACCUGGUGGGCUGCAGCCUCUUGAAGCGCAGUCGGAUCACGGGGGUCCCACUGAACAUCCGGCCCAGGUACAAGGACUUCACGCUCUUGGCCAUGCUGAAGGGCACGCACGGCAAGAUGUCCUGCCACAGACAGGGACCACGCCGGUCGGGGACGCAACCUCCACUCCAGCUCCCCUGAGCCCCGGGCCCCCGCCGUGCAGCAGGUCCACUGUCCCUCCCAUGCCUCGGGAGUGUGGCCGCCCCACCUCCAGCUGCUGAGGCCCCAGAGGCUGUCACACCGGCCCCACCACCGGGGCUCCCAGGUGAAGGACGGGCUCGCACCACCUGCUUCCCACAGGGCUUCUCGGGGGUCCCGUCACCUCCUUCCCUGCCCAUUUCCCUUGACUCUUUAUUUUUAAAUUAUGAAAUAUGUCAAGCAUACAAAAAGUACAGAGAAUCAUAAAAAAGUAUACACUAUUAUGAAAUAAAUAUGGACGCCUUGAAGAUGGCUGUCCCGGAAAGUU